GGGGGAGGAAGAGCAAGACAGAGGCAGCUUUAAACCAUAUAUGUGCCUCCAGGGGAUGCUUCAAGAGCCCAAGUAACUAAGUUAUGGUGCACCCUGAGGUGUUAAUGGGCUGCCCCAAAGCCAACAGCAACUGAAAAUCCACAUAAUUAGGCCAUGGAAACACCCCCCCCUCCCCCCACUCUCGACAUAGCCCUAUGCCAGUCAGAAGAGUUUUCCUCAGUCACUGAGCAGAAGGAAUGUUACCCUGCCUACACCUAUUAAACCGCUCCUUAGACCUUUGUACCUGGAGUACAGGAACUACAGCUCAGAGAAAAGCAUGCAAUUGGAUCAGUCAACGUUGGAAAAAAUAGCUGAGGGAUAUGGCAUUUUCCAAUUCUCUCCUUUAAAUGGAAAAAGAAGUCUGCAAGAGGGACAGAAACAAGUUAGGUCUCUCCUUUCAAGGUAGUGUUCCAGCAUGGAGUAAACAGCAAAUCACCAAAAAAGAGACUUCUUUAUUUGAUGACGCUGACAAAAGGAGAUUCAGAUUGCAGAACAUUCUUGUAGGCAACAUAGAUGGGAAUCAGAAGAGCAUCAAACAAUGGAUCAAAACGAACCAGUGAUCAACAAGUUCACAAGGAAGGAUAAGCAGUAGAUACUGUGACUGAAGAGGACAGCUGCAUCCUGAGGGGAAUAUGUGAGAGAACUCUAACCUAGACCUGAGAACAUUCAAAAGUGACGAAAAAGUUCCUGCAUCACAUAAUGAUAAAUUCUGACGUUGAACUGGUAUAAUCUCUGAUUUCUAAUGAAUUUUACUUAUUGUCUGUUGCACAAAGUUUAUUUUAAUUAUCAUGUAGUGCUGAGGAUGAAUACUUUUGAAAUGGGAAUUUUAGAGCAUGUGCACUUCUACAACAGGAAGUCCAGGGGAAUGAGAUGGCAAAAUAAAUAAGGAAAAGAAAGAGGAGCCCA
rnacentral:lncRNA from 1 species